CCUACGGGAGGCAGCAGUGAGGAAUAUUGGUCAAUGGGCGCGAGCCUGAACCAGCCAAGUAGCGUGCAGGAUGACGGCCCUAUGGGUUGUAAACUUCUUUUAUAAGGGAAUAAAGUGCGCCACGUGUGCUGUUUUGUAGGUACCUCAUGAAUAAGGACCGGCUAAAUCCGUGCCAGCAGCCGCGGUAAUACGGAGGUUCCGGGCGUUAUCCGGAUUUAUUGGGUUUAAAGGGAGCGUAGGUGGGAUGUUAAGCGAGUUGUGAAAGGCCGCGGCUCAACCGUGGAACUGCAGUUGAAACUGGCUUGCUUGAGUACGGGGGAGGUAAGCGGAAUUCGUGGUGUAGCGGUGAAAUGCUUAGAUAUCACGAAGAACUCCGAUUGCGAAGGCAGAUUACUGAACGGCCACUGACGGUGAGGCUCGAAGGCGUGGGUAUCAAACAGGAUUAGAUACCCGAGUAGUC
rnacentral:rRNA from 1 species